CAAUUACAUAGGAAAGACCACUUUUGUGUCCAUAUAAAUUAAAAUAUCACAUUUAUUAUACAUCGACUAUAUAGUGGACACUUGCUGUGUAUAUUGGUAUUUUACUUCGUUCACAAUUAUGGUGUAAGCACUUUGGCAUAAGUCUUAUAAGUACUACUAAAUUUUCUUUCUUUAAAUCUUUUAGCCAGUUUGUUUAUAGGACAUUGUAAACUACUACCAUUUCCAUGCAUUAUUUUAUUUUCAAGCUAUUUUGCAUGUACUUCGAGGUGACUCGAUGUUUUCUAAGUGUGUGUAUAAGUCCUGUAUUUUGCAAUUUCGGUUGUUUUGAUACAUGCUUUUUCGGUCAGUAGCUUUAUCAAAAUUGAUUUUCAGACAACCAAUAUUACUUGCCCUAUUCAUACAUUGUUUCUGUACUUGCAGUUAUCCCUUUAUAUUAUUUGUACGCCCUUAUGUGGAUGAAGUCUUCUAAAAACCUGAAAACUUAAAUAUUGUGCAUUACAUAUUCUGAACACAGCUUAUCACAAAGUGGAAUGUGCGAUAUCAUCCAUAUGACGUUCAAAAACACAACUUGUAAAAAACAAGUAGUAAUGUAGGGUAAUUUAGUUUAAGAUACAUGUAUAUAUGUUUCAGGUCUAAAAUGUAUGGUAUUUGAGGAAAAACUGUAAAAAUAACAUAACAUCGACAACACAGAUGAUUUAUUUAAACUCAAGAAGAAUUCAUCAACAUAAUCAUUCGCCACUCUUUAGUUAACAUUAUGUAGUCAAAAGGGAGUUAUUUUACAAUUUUUCAUUUCUUGGGCCGAAUAAUGGUCCUUUUCGUCUCCUUUGUAUAUAUAGUUUAGGAUAAUGCUUAAAAGUCCGAGCAUUUGUAAAUCAACUUGUAUUGUUAGCUGGUCUAUUGAUCAUACAAUCCGGUUGAUAAGACUACGAACAAUAAGUCGGAACUUCACGUACUAGUAUAUAGAUUGAUUAAGUACGAUCAGGUUUACAAGUUAACACACUCUGUGAAUUAAGGCCAUCCGCAGAACAUCAUUUAAGACGUUUUAUUUUAUUUUCGAAAAAUAACAACCAUGUCAAAGAAGUACAGUAAUUUGUCACUGGACGUUAAAGUGUAUUGUUUAAAUAUUUAAUGCUGUCUACAUGUUGGACUUUGUUAACGUUCUCAUUUUUUUCGACCCAAUAUGAUUGCUAAAAGUACUGUAAAAUUUGUUUAGCAGAUAAGUAACAUACAUAUUUAUUUUUGUAUGAACUCUAAUGAUUGAAAGAAAUGAUUAAAUGAAGCUUGAAUUAUAUUCUCUGUUAAAUCAAAACUAACAUGGGCUCACAAAUACAUUAGGAUUGUUCCUUUGCAAAGUCAGGAACCCGACUGUUCAUUUUCUUUGAGUUGUGUUUACCCUCAGUGUAUUGCACUUUAGUCUUAAAUAGGUUAAUGGCUUAACAAAACUCUCUAUUAUGUUAAAUUACUAUUGGAUUUUAUAUGGCAUGAAUAAUUGUUUUUUUUUCCAAUUCACAAUAUACUUUAGUUGAAUAAAGACUCAGGUUUUUGUGAUAUAUUAUAUAUUUUUUUCUGUUAUAUUUAGUCUUCUUUCGUUAUAUAAAUUGGCACCAUGAUAGGAAGCUAGUCACUGUAAUAUAUUUAAUCAGUAAACCAUACAUAAUGAAAACGAUAAAUAAAUAAAUAGUAUCUUCUUGUCUAAUUUAGGUAGAUGUACAUUUGUAACAUAAUAUUUUGGUAUUGUAUUGUACAUAGUUGGUUGACUUUUAUAUAUGAAAAAACUGUAAUCACCAAUUGUAUAUUUGUCUUGUAAAUUGACUUUAAAAUUCGUUUUUCAUUUGAGACCUUGUUAAACUGAAGGACAAAUGUGCAUUUUAAUUUGUAUUUGACUUCUUGGCAUGGGUUUUAAGUUCCGGAUCAAACUACUAAUUGACAUACUAGCAAUGAACCAUUGACAAUAUACUUAAUUAAUUUGAUGAUUCCAUCACACCUUUCUUAAAUUGUUUACCAAGAACGCCCAAACCCAAACCAGUGAAUGAUGUAUGAAUACUGCAAAUACUCAAGGAGCUAUAUAGCCAAAAGAUUAUGCAAAUUCAACUAAAGUCAUCUAUACCUGAGGGGUUUGUAACCUUUCAGAAAUGUUAUGGUUACACAAAGAUUUUUACUUAUUAAGUAUUGGUUCACUGAUCAAUCGAAUGGUGUCAUGAAAAUCAUAUGUGGUUGUCUUUAUUUGUGAAAGCAUUUCAGAAAAAGAAACGAUGAAUAAAAAGACAGAACCCCUCCCUCUCCAAAACAAUUCCACAAGAGCUUAUGAUGAAUAGACUCGUUUGACAUGCGUUUCUUAUAUACACUGCUGAUGGAGUCAUCGAUGCCAAGAACAGGACAUUGAUAUUAACCUAACUAAAAAAUAAAAUCAAGCUUUAAAAGAGCAACAAACGCCUAAACCACGAAUAAUUUCUAUUUUGGAUUUGUUAAAUUUGACAGGCAUGUUUUAUCUGUAUAGUAUAAGAGGGUGUUUGUCGAACGAGUAAGUGUCAUUAAAAUUACAUAAAAAGCGAAAAUGCAAUUAAUUCAAAUUUUUGCAAAGUUAAAGAUUACAUCGCGUAUAAAGUAACAAGUUUGCAGAAGAUGUACAUAUGAUGUACAGAAAGAAUACUUUGAGAAAACAAUUCAACUGAAAAAUAUAUCAUUAUAUGUUUUAGAUUCUUGUAACUACACCGUACGCAACAUUUAACGAUACUUUGAUAUUUGGUUAUAUGUACGUUCAAAAUCAACAACAUGUUUUAUUAUAUCAAAAAAUAGCAAAGUUACAUGCAUACUAUAUAAAAUAUGAAAUAAUAUGUAAUGAUUUUUUAUGAUUUUUAAGUUACUAUAAACCUUAAAUCGGUAAAUUAAC
rnacentral:lncRNA from 1 species